AUGGGUUAGGGAGGAGCACACAUGCAAGCAGGAAGAACAGGAAGGAAGCUACUGUCGUUAUGAAUUAAUGGUAAGAUGGAAACUGGAGACUCCUAAAAAGAACAUUGAGAUUCUUAUCAGUACCAUGCAUAUUUAGUAUCUCCACAAAAGGCCAAACUCUCUGAUUUUAGAAUUUGUUUCAGACAACUCAGAGAAGUGGCUACUUUGUGCUGUCACGCUGACCUGUGCUGAAAAGGACACCAAGAAAGAAAGGGGACUUAAAACUUAAAGGGCAGAACAUAAAACACAUCUCACUGAUAAGAACAGAAACAAAAAGAUGUUUAAACUACAGAUAAAACGAAAUGUUAAAAGACUUCUGGGUUUCAGCCAC